rnacentral:misc_RNA from 1 species
AUUGAGUUCCUGAUGGGCGUGAUGGCUACUAAUUUAUUUAGUGGCCCUGUCGAUAAAAAGCAACAGUAAGCCUGAGGCCAAAGGAUAUAAUGUACCUACAUGACCUAUCUUUUUUAGCUUUAACAGAGAACGGACCUUUUAUACUACAUCAAAAGAAGUAAAACCCGGUGGCUUAUAGACCAUAAGAAUAGCAUCUGAGUAGGCCUCAAAAUGCAACCAGCUCAACGGGACUAAUUCUUUUGCGAUUGACCAUAGUUGGUUACCAUAUACCAUGAACAUUGAGCAGAAAUUUCACUACCUGUAGUCGAUAAAGCAACGACGCAAUAUGCAGGUAGGUAGGCUAUUUUCAUAUUAUCCCUAUAGUUGAUAUCUAUUUGUUUAGAUUGGAUAAACAAAUCCAUUACAUCCAAAUGACCUUGUAAUAAGGCAUAAUGCAAAAGCGUAUACUAUUGCUGAUCAACAACAUCAAUCCGGGCUUAUAAAGAAGCGAUUUCAAGUAGUUUUACCAAUUUUGUAUACCCUUCCCUAGAAGCCAUAUGCAGCAGUGAACAUUUAAAAUAGUUUUCAUGUUCUUUGUAAAUCAGUUGCUCAUUAGGGUCACUCCUAGGAAAUAUUUGACAACAACUGCUACAUUGUUGAUUGGGUUGUGCAUCCAUUCUUUUAUAAACAGAUGAUGGAACGGCAGAACAAUCCUCUUGUACAUUGAAAGGUGGAGAAUUUGUAUUAGAAAUAGUUCUUCUUACAAGAGGCUACCAAAAAAGGAUGGAACAAACCAGACGGGGAUUAUCUACCGGGAACAAAUUUUGCAAAUUACCAAAAUUUCGUCCAGGAAACACUACAACCGGGGGGGGGGGGGUGGGGUUUACCCCCACGGUGCUCAAGUGGAAUUAGACAAACUCAUCACAAAAAACAAGUGGAAAAAAAGAGAGAAUACGUAUCCCAAAGGAUACCAACAUGCAUGUACACUGCUGGUGUUCCUCCAAAAUGGAUUAAAAUACAACAUCACCAUCAUAAAUUCGAUAAAGGACUACGCCGUCACAGAUGCUUAUAUGAAAAUGUUUGAAACCCUCUAUCGUAGCGAAAAAGUUACUGGAUACAUUUUCCGCCAAAAGGAAGAAAUUCCAGUUGCUGCUGAGCAGCUACCUGUCAGUUCUUUCACAGCAACAAAUGGUGUUGAAUAUUCAAGUAGCGACGUACGCUACAAGAACCGACCAAUGGAGGGAUAUGUAGUGUUUUUUCAGGGCGCCACAGACAAAAUGUAAAGUUUCAAGAAAUCGGCCGAGUCAGAAGAGGCAAGAAAAAAAGAAGACAAGAAAAAGAUUGAAAUCAAUGAUUAAAGGCAGCAGUUUGAUCUUUUGGGAGUUCAACAGUCCAAAAUCAAAAGUGAGAUAGCGAAACUUCAAGAAGAGAAGAUGAAAUCUGUUGCGUUGUCCAAAUUGAAUUAGACAAGAUCACCAAGAAAAAAUUCUGGGUUAAAAAAGAGUAUACUUAUCCUAAGGGAAAUGAGUAUGCUUGUACAUUGCUGGUGUAUUUACCAGGCUUAAAACACAAGGUCACAAUAAUUGAUUGCAUUAAGGACUACGCUAUCACGGAUGCCUACCAAAAGAUGUUUGAACUCCUUUAUCGACGUGGAAAAGUUACUCGUUUCAUUUUUCGCGAGAAGUUACAACUUCCUGUUAAUUCUACAAGUUGCACAGCAACAAAUGGUUAAUAAAGCACACAGAAAAAGAAAUUUGUACUUGCAGACGUUGUAAGAAAGACUUCAAAGCAAAAAAUGAAUUACGCUUGCACAAUGAAGAGAUGCACCAAUCAUUUUCCUGUGAAUUUUGCCAUUCAAUGUUUAUGGGUUCAGGCGGCCUGGAGAAACAUCUUCAAAAGGGAGAGCAAAGAAACGAUGUGUGCCCAAAGAAAAACUUAUAGAAAAAUGUGAAGCUAAAUUGAACUGCAAGUCCCGUAUAUGAAUAAAGCAAACCCAUAUUUCCUAUUCUUCCCAUUCUUCCCUCGGACGAAUUACUCUGUGGAUUAUUCCCCGAAAAACGUAAACAACACUUUUCCAAGAUUGUUUUUAAGUAAACUGGAAUUCAGAAAAAAAGACAAAUACAUUACAAAAUUUC